rnacentral:rRNA from 1 species
AACGAACGCUGGCGGCAUGCCUAAUACAUGCAAGUCGAACGAUCUCUUCGGAGGUAGUGGCGCACGGGUGCGUAACGCGUGGGAAUCUGCCCUUGGGUUCGGAAUAACGUUUGGAAACGAACGCUAAUACCGGAUGAUGACGAAAGUCCAAAGAUUUAUCGCCCAAGGAUGAGCCCGCGUAGGAUUAGCUAGUUGGUGGGGUAAAGGCCCACCAAGGCGACGAUCCUUAGCUGGUCUGAGAGGAUGAUCAGCCACACUGGGACUGAGACACGGCCCAGACUCCUACGGGAGGCAGCAGUAGGGAAUAUUGGACAAUGGGGGCAACCCUGAUCCAGCAAUGCCGCGUGAGUGAUGAAGGCCUUAGGGUUGUAAAGCUCUUUUACCCGGGAUGAUAAUGACAGUACCGGGAGAAUAAGCCCCGGCUAACUCCGUGCCAGCCGCCGCCGUAAGAC